UUGAAAGGGAAACGAUUGAAGUCAGUCAUGCCGGCGGGAAUCAACUUAGGGGAAACUUUAAGUGCACUUCACGCUUGGCGGGUCAGCAUCGAUUUUGGAUGUCAUAAAAUGACUGGGGGAAGGUAGCUCCUUCGGGAGUGUUAUAGCCCUUGGUAGAUGUGAUGUCUGGGAUCGAGGAUUGCAACGGAUACCCUUUGGGCUAGCCGCCUGAUCUCUAACUGGUGUUGGGUUACGGACAGCAUGCUGACCGUGAUUUAAUUACUGGUUAAAAGGUUAGAGCGAGUGUAAAUUCGUUAAGGAUGUUGACGUA
rnacentral:rRNA from 1 species